rnacentral:rRNA from 1 species
GACGAACGCUGGCGGCGUGCUUAACACAUGCAAGUCGAACGGUGAAGCGCCUUCCUUUUUGGUGGGUGUGGAUGAGUGGCGAACGGGUGAGUAACACGUGAGUAACCUGCUCCCUUCUUCUGGAUAACCGCAUGAAAGUGUGGCUAAUACGGGAUAUUCUGGGUCUGUCGCAUGAUGGGUCUGGGAAAGAUAUUGUUUCGGUGGGGGAUGGGCUCGCGGCCUAUCAGCUUGUUGGUGGGGUGAUGGCCUACCAAGGCGGUGACGGGUAGCCGGCCUGAGGGGGUGGACGGUCACACUGGGACUGAGACACGGCCCAGACUCCUACGGGAGGCAGCAGUGGGGAAUAUUGCACAAUGGGCGCAAGCCUGAUGCAGCGACGCCGCGUGAGGGAUGGAGGCCUUCGGGUUGUGAACCUCUUUCGCCAGUGAAGCAGGCCUGCCUCGUUUGUGGGUGGGUUGACGGUAGCUGGAUAAGAAGCGCCGGCUAACUACGUG